GCCCUGAUUCAUACGGAGCUUCCUUGGAUCCUUGGGAGAAGACAAGACAGGCUGGGGAAGGCGAGGAGGGGGACUGAGCAGAUGAACCAAGUAGAUAAACUCAUUGCAGGCCUGAAAUGUUGAAGGUAGAGUCUUAAGGACCCUCUUCCCCUCCCCAACCUCAAACCCUGCUCCACCCACCAGACCCUGAACUUUAUGAGUGUGAGCACUUGGGGGUGUGGGUGUGGUACCCAGGAGUGUCCCUGUGUGUGCCCGUGUAGGCUAAUCGACUCAUUCAGGUUUGCCUGGGGCCAUCCGGGUUUUAUUCCAGGAAACCUCUCAGCCCUGGAAAAUGUGGAAGGUUUUCACCCUGCCUGUGCGCAUGGAUGUGUGUGUGUGUGUGAGUUCUUGCAUCUGUGCAAGUGGGUAGAGCUACCUGAAGCAGGAUCUGUCAAGUGUGUGAAUCCACAGGUGAGGUGUCUCUGGGACUCUGUGGAUAUCUAAAUGCGCAUUGAUUUGUCCCUUCCCCCAUUCCCUUCUGCACUUCCAGAAAGGAUCUGAGGAGGCUCUGCCUGAUGGUCUCUCUGCUAAGAGGCAGUGUUUCAGUGGUUUACAGCAUGGAUGCAUCUAGGCUCAAAUGCCACUUCUGCCACUAUUGGCUGUGUGACCUUGGACAAGCAACUUGGCCAAGGUCUUUCUGGAUCAUUUUUCUUAACGUCAAAUGGAUAUAAGGACCCUUUAACAGGAGCAUAAAUGAGACAUCUAGAGGGACUGCCACAUGCUGUGGCAGAAAAGGUUGCCUCUUGUCGGCUUGAGCUGUGAGCCUGUCCCUGCCCUUUACCCUCUGCCAUGAGCCACAGUGGUGAGAAGCAAGACCAGGGGUCAGGACAACUGGAAUCAAGACCCAGCCCUGCACUAAUUUGCCGUGGGAACUUAGGUAGGUCAAUUUCCUGUGUGAUCUUGCUUCCUUGGGUAAUGAUUAAUUUUAUGUGUUGACUUGAAGUGUGUUUUACAUGAGAUUAACAUUUAAAUAGGGGAAUUUUGGGUAAAGCAGAUUGCCCUCCAUACUAUGGGUGGGUCUCAUCUAAUCAGUUGAAGGCCUGACUAGCACAAAAGGAGAUGCUUUCCUGAGCAAGGGGGAAUUCUCCAGCAGACAGCCUGUGGACUUCAUCUGCGUCAUCGGCUCUCCCAGGUCUUCAGCCUGCUGGCCCACCCACACUGCAGAUUCAGAAUUGCCAGCCUUCAUGACUGCAUGAGCCAAUUCCUUAUAAUAAAUCUCUUUCUGUGUGUGUACACACAUCCUA